GAGUCUUUGAAUGCAAGUUGCGCCCGACGCCAUUCGGCCGAGGGCACGCCUGCCUGGGUGUCACG
rnacentral:rRNA from 1 species